rnacentral:misc_RNA from 1 species
UCCUGGUUAACCCAGGCAGUCUCAUUAGAGUUCCCAGCAUUACCUGUUGGCAACUAAUGACAAGGGUUGCGCUCGUUGCGGGACUUAACCCAACACCUCACGGCACGAGCUGACGACAGCCAUGCAGCACCUGUGCAGCAAUCCCGAAGGAAAGCUCCAUUUCUGAAGCGGUCUACUGCAUGUCAAGCCUAGGUAAGGUUCUUCGCGUUGCAUCGAAUUAAACCACAUGCUCCACUGCUUGUGCGGGUCCCCGUCAAUUCUUUUGAGUUUCACCCUUGCGAGCGUACUCCCCAGGCGGUAUACUUAACGCGUUAGCUCCGGCACAGUCAGGGUUGAGUCUGACUACACCAAGUAUACAUAGUUUACGGCUAGGACUAC